CCAAUUUGAUGUUGUGGUUCAAACUGUUAGAAGUGACAAUGCUUUAGAAUUGGGUUCUAGCAUUGAGGGUAAAUCUUUCUUUAGUAGUCAGGGGAUCAUUCAUCAAACCACCUGCUCUCAUUCCCCUCAACAGAGUGGUGUUGUUGAGAGAAAACAUAGAACCCUCCUUGAAACAUGUAGAGCUUUACUUUUUCAAUCUUGGUUGCCUGUGUCCUUCUGGGGGGACUGUUUGUUGACUGCCACUUACCUCAUUAACAGAAUACCAUCCAGAUUACUUCACAAUAAGUCUCCUAAUGAAAUUCUGUAUGGAAUAGCCCCAACCUACUCUCAUUUGAGAGCAUUUGGGUGCCUUGCCUAUGCUACUGUCCCAAUCCCUCAAAGGAACAAAUUAAGACCAAGAGUCAUUUCUUGUGUUUUCCUGGGUUAUCCUUUUGCCAAGAAGGGUUAUAGAUUGUAUGAUAUGGCUUCCAAGAAAUGUUUGAUUUCCAGGGAUGUUAUAUUCCAUGAAACCUGUUUUCCUUUUAAAACUGCAUCCUCUUCUGCUCAUCCUUCUAUUUUUUCCUUUCCUUCUGUUCCCCAUGCAGAACUUUCUAAUGAUCCAGAUUCUUCUAUUCACCUCUCCUCUCCUCUCCUUUCCUUCUGUUCCCCCUGUAGAACGUUAUAUUCAAUGAAACCUGUUUUCCUUUUAAAACUGCAUCCUCUUCUGCUCAUCCUUCUGUUUUUUCCUUUCCUUCUGUUCCCCCUGUAGAACUUUCUGAUGAUCCAGAUUCUUCUAUUCACCU
rnacentral:lncRNA from 1 species